rnacentral:rRNA from 1 species
AACGAACGCUGGCGGCAGGCCUAACACAUGCAAGUCGAACGCCCCGCAAGGGGAGUGGCAGACGGGUGAGUAACACGUGGGAACCUUCCCUAUAGUACGGAAUAGCCCAGGGAAACUUGGAGUAAUACCGUAUACGCCCGAAAGGGGAAAGAAUUUCGCUAUAGGAUGGGCCCGCGUAGGAUUAGCUAGUUGGUGAGGUAAUGGCUCACCAAGGCGACGAUCCUUAGCUGGUUUGAGAGAACGACUAGCCACACUGGGACUGAGACACGGCCCAGACUCCUACGGGAGGCAGCAGUGGGGAAUAUUGGACAAUGGGCGCAAGCCUGAUCCAGCCAUGCCGCGUGAGUGAUGAAGGCCUUAGGGUUGUAAAGCUCUUUUGGCGGGGACGAUAAUGACGGUACCCGCAGAAUAAGUCCCGGCUAACUUCGUG